rnacentral:rRNA from 1 species
GAUGAACGCUAGCGGCAGGCCUAAUACAUGCAAGCUGAACGGUAAAUGUUGUAGCAAUACAAUAUGAGAGUAGCGUAAGGGUGCGUAACACGUAUGCAAUCUACCCGCAACUGGAGGAUAGCUCCCCGAAAGGGGAAUUAAUACUCCAUAAGAUCACGAGAGGGCAUCUGAUUGUGAUUAAACUCCGAAGGGGUUGCGGAUGAGCAUGCGUCUGAUUAGUUAGUUGGUGAGGUAACGGCUCACCAAGACGAUGAUCAGUA